rnacentral:rRNA from 1 species
AUUGAACGCUGGCGGCAUGCCUAACACAUGCAAGUCGAACGGUAACAGGUAUUUGGAUGCUGGCGUGUGGGGCGGACGGGUGAGAAACGCCUAAGAGUGUGCGAGCGAGGGGGGGAAAGCGUCGGGAAAAGUGCGCAAACCGCGUACGAGACAUGGGGGACAGCGUGGGGGCGCUUGGGCGUGCGCGCACGCAGAUGAGGCUGGGGCGGCUUAGCUAGGUGGUGGGGAAAAGGCAUACCAAGGCGACGAUCAGUAGCUGGUCUGAGAGGACGACCCGUCACACUGGGACUGAGACACGGUCCAGACUCCUACGGGAGGCAGCAGUGGGGAAUUUUGGACAAUGGGCGAAAGCCUGAUCCAGUCAUGCCGCGUGUAGGAAGAAGGCCUUCGGGUUGUAAAGUACUUUGAGUCGGGACGAAGAGAAUCUAGUUAAUACCUUGCGGCCAUGACGGUACCGUAAGAAUAAGCACCGGCUAACUACGUG